rnacentral:rRNA from 1 species
UAAUACGGAGGGUGCAAGCGUUAAUCGGAAUUACUGGGCGUAAAGCGCACGCAGGCGGUUUGUUAAGUCAGAUGUGAAAUCCCCGGGCUCAACCUGGGAACUGCAUUUGAAACUGGCAAGCUAGAGUCUCGUAGAGGGGGGUAGAAUUCCAGGUGUAGCGGUGAAAUGCGUAGAGAUCUGGAGGAAUACCGGUGGCGAAGGCGGCCCCCUGGACGAAGACUGACGCUCAGGUGCGAAAGCGUGGGGAGCAAACAGGAUUAGAUACCCUGGUAGUCCACGCUGUAAACGAUGUCGAUUUGGAGGUUGUGCCCUUGAGGCGUGGCUUCCGCAGCUAACGCAUUAAGCUUCCCGCCUGGGGAGUACGGUCGCAAGAUUA